GACGAACGCUGGCGGCGUGCUUAACACAUGCAAGUCGAACAGAAAGGCCCUGCUUUUGUGGGGUGCUCGAGUGGCGAACGGGUGAGUAACACGUGAGUAACCUGCCCUUGACUUUGGGAUAACUUCAGGAAACUGGGGCUAAUACCGGAUAGGAGCUCCUGCUGCAUGGUGGGGGUUGGAAAGUUUCGGCGGUUGGGGAUGGACUCGCGGCUUAUCAGCUUGUUGGUGGGGUAGUGGCUUACCAAGGCUUUGACGGGUAGCCGGCCUGAGAGGGUGACCGGCCACAUUGGGACUGAGAUACGGCCCAGACUCCUACGGGAGGCAGCAGUGGGGAAUAUUGCACAAUGGGCGGAAGCCUGAUGCAGCAACGCCGCGUGCGGGAUGACGGCCUUCGGGUUGUAAACCGCUUUCGCCUGUGACGAAGCGUGAGUGACGGUAAUGGGUAAAGAAGCACCAGCUAACUACGUG
rnacentral:rRNA from 1 species